AUGAAAAUAAACAAGGAGUUGGUUAGAACAAUUAUCAUCAAAACAAGGAAAUUUAAACAAGUGUCAAGCAAAUUUUCUUCUAAUCUCAUCAUGAGGGUUUGUGUUUGGAAUCAGAAAUUUAGAGGGUGUUUUCAAUCACGUGUUAAGCCCAAUUUAAAGCCUCAUACAAAUCAUAUUUCUAAAUUUUAA